rnacentral:rRNA from 1 species
UACGAAGGGGGCGAGCGUUGUUCGGAUUUACUGGGCGUAAAGGGCGCGCAGGCGGUCUUGAAAGUCAGGCGUGAAAGCCCCGGGCUUAACCUGGGAAUUGCGCUUGAUACUCUGAGACUGGAGUACGGGAGAGGAGAGUGGAAUUCCUGGUGUAGCGGUGAAAUGCGCAGAUAUCAGGAGAACACCCGUGGCUAAGGCGGCUCUCUAGUACGGUACUGACGCUGAGACGCGAAAGCGUGGGGAGCGAACAGG